AUUGAACGCUGGCGGCAUGCCUUACACAUGCAAGUCGAACGGCAGCGCGGGUGCUUGCACCUGGCGGCGAGUGGCGAACGGGUGAGUAAUAUAUCGGAACGUGCCCUAGAGUGGGGGAUAACGUAGCGAAAGUUACGCUAAUACCGCAUACGAUCUACGGAUGAAAGUGGGGGAUCGCAAGACCUCAUGCUCCUGGAGCGGCCGAUAUCGGAUUAGCUAGUUGGUGGGGUAAAGGCCCACCGAGUCGACGAUCAGUAGCUGGUCUGAGAGGACGACCAGCCGCACUGGGACUGAGACACGGCCCAGACUCCUACGGGAGGCAGCAGUGGGGAAUUUUGGACAAUGGGGGCAACCCUGAUCCAGCAAUGCCGGGUGAGUGAAGAAGGCCUUCGGGUUGUAAAGCUCUUUUGUCAGGGAAGAAACGGUCUGGGUUAAUACCCUGGGCUAAUGACGGUACCUGAAGAAUAAGCACCGGCUAACUACGUGCCAGCCGCCGCGGUAAAAC
rnacentral:rRNA from 1 species